AUCUUUCAAAAAAAUAAAAGUAAGAUAGCGUCACAGAGAUAGAGAGGUGGUCAUUCAUGGCGGUUUUGGGUUGUCUAACAUGUAUGCUGUCUCCAAUUCUACGCAAUCAAAUCCCACCUUCAAAUUCAAACAACUCCCAUCUUUUGACAAGGCGUAAAGCCUUGACCUUUACUACUUCUAUUGCUGCCUUUUACUUUCAUUUUUGUCAAAAUUCAGAUAUUUCUGGUUUUUCCCCUGCCAUUGCCCAACAAGUGGAUGAACUUCAACAAGAAGAAGAUCGGGAUGUUCAACUCUUCCAGGGAACUUCAUCUUCUGUUGUAUUCAUUAAAGACCUUGAAUUAGCUAGAAUCCCCAAGAGUACCUCUGAAACUCUGCUAGCUGAGGAUGAGAAUGCAAAAGUGCAAGGGACAGGUUCAGGUUUCAUCUGGGAUAAGUUUGGUCACAUUGUGACGAACUAUCAUGUAGUCGCUAAAUUGGCUACAGAUAGAAGUGGCUUACAACUUUGUAAGGUAUCUUUGGUUGAUGCAAACGGUAACAGCAUUACUAGCGAAGGCAAGAUUGUUGGAUUUGAUCCAGACUAUGAUUUGGCAGUCCUUAAGGUUGAUCUCAAAGGAAAUGAACUGAAGCCAGUUACUCUUGGUACAUCUCGUCAUUUACACGUGGGUCAAAGCUGCUUUGCAAUCGGAAAUCCAUAUGGAUAUGAGAACACUUUAACAACAGGGGUUAUAAGUGGAUUGGGCAGGGAGAUCCCCUCACCAAAUGGAAAAUCCAUUCGAGGAGCCAUUCAAACAGAUGCUGCUAUUAAUGCAGUGCAGGGAAUUCAGGUGGACCAUUGAUUGAUUCCUAUGGUCAUGUUAUUGGUAUUAAUACAGCCACGUUCACUCGCAAGGGUACUGGGAUGUCAUCUGGUGUGAACUUUGCAAUACCAAUUGACACAGUCGUCCGCAUUAUACCUUAUCUGAUUGUCUAUGGAACACCUUAUACCGACAGAUACUGACAGCAUCCUGUCCUCAUAGGUGAUCUUUUUUUCAAUUUGCUUGUUCUCAAACUGGUUUUCCAGGAGGACGAUGUACUGGAUAAAAGCACCAGGCCUCGCGUGGAAACCCUUCUGUUUUCAGUGGAUCCACGUUCGCCUCUUAAUUUCUUCUCUUUAUUAGAAGAAGAUAGUAGCCUUAUCUUGUCUAUUCUCUGAUAAGUGGGAUGCUAAGAUCAAAUAUAAUUCAUUCUGAACAGUAAUAUUUUCGUUGUUUUUUACUGUUGUUGUGGGUUCUUUAGUAUUGACAAUUGAGAUGAAAUUGACAUGUAAAAUUAGCUGCCAUAUAAUCAUUAAACAAAAGCAUAAACAAGAAAUAUUUUUUUGCUA